rnacentral:lncRNA from 1 species
CUAAAUCAAAAAUAUAUAUUUCACAGACUAUUUUCACAAAAAAAUCUUGCAUUAAAAACUUAUCAUAAGUUAUACUGAAAAGUUCACGACUAACAUUAUUUUUUACUCAGAAGAUUUUUUGUGAAGAGAGUUGCAGGAGAGUUAAAUUAAAAUAUAUAUAUAUAUAAACAUCAAGGCAGGUUAAAGAUAUUACCACUGAGAGAGUGUUUUACAAAAUUUACAAACAUUUUCUGAUAAACAAUAAAAUGCAUAAAUAAUAUCAAUACACCCAAAUUAAUACCUAACUUAAACA